UCCUGGUGAUCAUAGCGUGGCUUUGAACUC
rnacentral:piRNA from 1 species